AUUGAACGCUGGCGGCAGGCCUAACACAUGCAAGUCGAACGAGUGGCGGACGGGUGAGUAAUGUCUGGGAAACUGCCUGAUGGAGGGGGAUAACUACUGGAAACGGUAGCUAAUACCGCCUACCAUCGGAUGUGCCCAGAUGGGAUUAGCUAGUAGGGGGGGUAAAGGCUCACCUAGGCGACGAUCCCUAGCUGGUCUGAGAGGGUGACCAGCCACUGUGGAACGGAGACACGGUCCAGACUCCUACGGGAGGCAGCAGUGGGGAAUAUUGCACAAUGGGCGCAAGCGUGAUGCAGCCAUGCCGCGUGUAUGAAGAAGGCUUUCGGGUUGUAGAGUACUUUCAGCGGGGAGGCGUUACCCGCAGAAGAAGCACCGGCUAACUCCGUGCCAGCAGCCGCUGUAAUUC
rnacentral:rRNA from 1 species